rnacentral:misc_RNA from 1 species
GAUGAAGAACGCAGCGAAAUGCGAUAAGUAAUGUGAAUUGCAGAAUUCAGUGAAUCAUCGAAUCUUCGAACGCACAUUGCGCCCGCCAGUAUUCUGGCGGGCAUGCCUGUUCGAGCGUCAUUUCAACCAUCAAGCCCCAGGCUUGUGUUGGAGCCCUGCGGCUGCCGCAGCCUCCCAAAACCAGUGGCGGGCUCGCUAUCACACCGAGUGCAGUAGUUUACUCUUCGCUCAGGGCGUGUGGCGGGUGCUAGCCGUAAAACCCCCAACUUCUCAAGGUUGACCUCGGAUCAGGUAGGAAUACCCGCUGAACUUAAGCAUAUCAAUAAGCGGAGGA